rnacentral:lncRNA from 1 species
UUCAUUGCAUCGAACAUAUAGAUAUUAUAUGUAAAUUUUCUUUCUGGGCGGGUAACUUCCUAGUAAAUAAAUAAAAACAAGAGUCAACAACACAAGUAAAACGUCAAUCACAGCAAUAUUGUUCUUCUAAAGUAGGUAAUACACUUGUUUUGUGACUCUUCUUAAAGAAUUGUUGCUACAUUUAGAAUCUUCUAGGAGCAAAACCACUUCUUGUAUAGAUGCACGAAAACUCCUUCACAGCAAACUAAGAGAUAACAAAGGUUGCUAAUGCAAAUUUUUUGAGGCUACCCUUUCUUUUUUCUAACGGGGAUUUGUUACUUUAGGUUAUACCACAUUACCUUCUUGUUGAAUCUCAGUGAUUAG